CAAGAACUGAGGACUAGGUAGGUCACUUCUCCGUUUUAGUUACCGAACGGAAGAAGAGAGCAGCCGGUAGGAACGAGGUCAGAAGACGGACGACGACGGAGCGAAGGAGGCAGACAGUAGAAGAACGAUCCCGCAAAGGGAGUGUGAGGGUGUCCAGCAUGAUUAGAAGGAGAGAUGGACCAGGUAGAGCUCCUUUCUGGGCAACCUCGCUCCCCCGUCUUCAACCGCGUCGAGAUACACCUCAAAUUCACGAAGUUCCGUGGUGCCUCACUGUUCUUUACCACAGCGACCUCGCUCCCACGGCUCCCGAAUCUUCAAAAACGACCUCGUUAUUUCUUCCUUUAACCUUCCGACUAGUUACCUAAAGUUCAAGUCAUACCGGUCUCCCUACCUAAUCCUGGUCCAUCUUACCUAGACGUUUCUACAAUGGACUGAGAGCCAGUUUCUCUUCUCCCCUCUUGGUCCUGCGAAACCCAACCCAGCGCUCUCUGUCUGUAGAGUCUCUUGUCUCCGGUCGCCGACGACCCGUGCGCCCACGCUAGCUUCAAAGAUCUCGACUUGAGGUUAUCUCACACGUGACAAGCUAAGUUACAUAGAUGCCGAAUUUUACGUCCCUAAACGGGUACGGAGAUGGCAACCUACGUCGUCAUAGUUGCCGAUCGUAAGUUUGAAUAAGGAUGUGAUAUAUCCUCAUAUAUAUAUAUAUAUGUGUGUGUAGAUAUGUGGAUAUAUCACACGCUUAUUGAUACUUUCAACGAGCAACCUACUUCAGUUAGGCUGCCAUGUCUCUACCGUUUAGGCUCGUAAUGACCAGCAACCUAUAGUAGAUGUAAGGUGGUCUAAGACAGUUUACAUGUUAGAUCUUCUGAGGUACCAACUUGAAUUCGUAUUACGUGUUUGGAGUUUUGUGU
rnacentral:rRNA from 1 species